GAGCGACAGAUGAGAAGCUUGCUUCUCUCGAUGUUAGCGGCGGACGGGUGAGUAACACGUGGGUAACCUACCUAUAAGACUGGGAUAACUCCGGGAAACCGGGGCUAAUACCGGAUAAUAUUUUGAACCGCAUGGUUCAAUAGUGAAAGACGGUUUCGGCUGUCACUUAUAGAUGGACCCGCGCCGUAUUAGCUAGUUGGUAAGGUAACGGCUUACCAAGGCGACGAUACGUAGCCGACCUGAGAGGGUGAUCGGCCACACUGGAACUGAGACACGGUCCAGACUCCUACGGGAGGCAGCAGUAGGGAAUCUUCCGCAAUGGGCGAAAGCCUGACGGAGCAACGCCGCGUGAGUGAUGAAGGUCUUCGGAUCGUAAAACUCUGUUGUUAGGGAAGAACAAAUUUGUUAGUAACUGAACAAGUCUUGACGGUACCUAACCAGAAAGCCACGGCUAACUACGUGCCAGCAGCCGCGGUAAUACGUAGGUGGCAAGCGUUAUCCGGAAUUAUUGGGCGUAAAGCGCGCGUAGGCGGUUUCUUAAGUCUGAUGUGAAAGCCCACGGCUCAACCGUGGAGGGUCAUUGGAAACUGGGAAACUUGAGUGCAGAAGAGGAGAGUGGAAUUCCAUGUGUAGCGGUGAAAUGCGCAGAGAUAUGGAGGAACACCAGUGGCGAAGGCGGCUCUCUGGUCUGUAACUGACGCUGAUGUGCGAAAGCGUGGGGAUCAAACAGGAUUAGAUACCCUGGUAGUCCACGCCGU
rnacentral:rRNA from 2 species